UUACAAAUGAAUCAAUCCCGGCGGGUGAACGCUGUGUCGGGCUGUUUUUUAGCAUUUCAAAGCUUCCGUGGUCGGCUUAUUCCUGUGCAGCGUCGCAUUGCUUGUUCUUGGCUUUAUCGUUGGAAAAAGCCGAAAUGAAUGGAAAAGUCCUUGACUUGUCCGAAUCAUCAAGUUCAAAGUUCGGUGACUGUAUUCCGGGAUUCCCGCUUGACAAUAAUGUACUGCGCGACACCCGGUACUUGAACAGCUUUGAAAGGCCG